AUCCGGUCCAAGUGCAGUGGAAUUUAUAAUUAAUUGAUCAGUUACAGAUUUCUUUGUUCUUUCUCCACUCCCACUGCUUCACUUGACUAGUCUU
rnacentral:Y_RNA from 1 species